rnacentral:rRNA from 1 species
GGUUAAGCGACUAAGCGUACACGGUGGAUGCCCUGGCAGUCAGAGGCGAUGAAGGGCGUGCUAAUCUGCGAUAAGCGCCGGUAAGGUGAUAUGAACCGUUAUAACCGGCGAUACCCGAAUGGGGAAACCCAGUGUGAUUCGUCACACUAUCAUUAACUGAAUCCAUAGGUUAAUGAGGCGAACCGGGGGAACUGAAACAUCUAAGUACCCCGAGGAAAAGAAAUCAACCGAGAUUCCCCCAGUAGCGGCGAGCGAACGGGGAGGAGCCCAGAGCCUGAAUCAGCAUGUGUGUUAGUGGAAGCGUCUGGAAAGGCGCGCGAUACAGGGUGACAGCCCCGUACACAAAAGCGCAUA